CUCAUGUGUCUUAUAGUCUGCGUCUCCCUUUGUCUUGGGCCAGAGUGUCUCGUUCCGUCGUGCACCUCAGCCUUUCACCACAGUCGAAGUCUUGCGACAGCUCAGAGAGGCGACAUGAAACAGGACGAGGGAGAGGAGGGACGAGUCUCCGGAGGGCCACAGGUCGGACUCGAACCUGCAGCGAGAGAGAGCGGUGGACGGGGUUGAAAUUUGUCCUGAACAUCAUUUACAACAUGUGUUCAUUCAAAUAUCUGAAUCUGAAAGUUUACAGUCAUCAGAUUAACAACAGUAACUAAAUAUCUUCUGUCCUCACAUAAUCGGGGAAAAAUAGGAUAUCAUGUACAAACUAAUAUUAAACUCAUGUGAGCGUGUUAAUUCUCA